rnacentral:lncRNA from 1 species
CUUUUCUCAAAAAUUAAGCACAAAUCUCUCACACUCACAACUCCCAUUCAUAGAACACACAACAAUGGAGAAUUUCAUUCAUACACACACUCCACAUAUAAUACAGUGAAGAAAAAUUAUACAUACACACUCCACGAUAGAGGAAAAAACAUAGGGAGAAUAGACUUGAGAAGGCCAGGACAGUGAAGAAAAAGGGCAAAAAUGGUCUAAGAAUAUUCAAGAGGUGACUGGAACAGCAUCACCGAUGAAAUCUGGUUACCUUCGAGUAUUUCCGGUGAAAUUUCUCGCCGAAAUUGGUGUUCCGUUAGUCAACUUGACCAAUUUCCAUCUUCACACUCUCAUAAUUUGACACUCCACUACACGAUAUACACACAAUUUCACACACACAAUACAGAGAAGCAAAUGAAAGACUCCAUUUUCUUCUUCCAGAAUAUAUACACACGGUUACAAUACACACACAGACUCACACAAUUCCACACACACCAAUCCUUCAGCCAAUUAAAAAACACAUUAAAGAAAUUUAAAAAAAAAAAAGAAAUACCCAUAAUCUUCUUCUCCAUUAAUGAAUAAGUGAAGUGAAGAAGGGGAAGAAGUAUAUUGUUGGAUAUUAUUGGGUAUCGGCGGAAUCGAAGUGCUUCAAUGAUGGGGAAAGGGGUAUCGACGAAAUCAAAGUGCUCAAUAGUGAGGAAAGGGGUAUCUAUGGAAGAAGAAGAA